GAUGAACGCUGGCGGCGUGCCUAAUACAUGCAAGUCGAGCGAACAGAUAAGGAGCUUGCUCCUUUGACGUUAGCGGCGGACGGGUGAGUAACACGUGGGUAACCUACCUAUAAGACUGGGAUAACUUCGGGAAACCGGAGCUAAUACCGGAUAACAUUUGGAACCGCAUAGUUCUAAAGUGAAAGAUGGUUUUGCUAUCACUUAUAGAUGGACCCGCGCCGUAUUAGCUAGUUGGUAAGGUAACGGCUUACCAAGGCGACGAUACGUAGCCGACCUGAGAGGGUGAUCGGCCACACUGGAACUGAGACACGGUCCAGACUCCUACGGGAGGCAGCAGUAGGGAAUCUUCCGCAAUGGGCGAAAGCCUGACGGAGCAACGCCGCGUGAGUGAUGAAGGGUUUCGGCUCGUAAAACUCUGUUAUUAGGGAAGAACAAACGUGUAAGUAACUGUGCACGUCUUGACGGUACCUAAUCAGAAAGCCACGGCUAACUACGUGCCAGCAGCCGCGGUAAUACGUAGGUGGCAAGCGUUAUCCGGAAUUAUUGGGCGUAAAGCGCGCGUAGGCGGUUUCUUAAGUCUGAUGUGAAAGCCCACGGCUCAACCGUGGAGGGUCAUUGGAAACUGGGAAACUUGAGUGCAGAAGAGGAAAGUGGAAUUCCAUGUGUAGCGGUGAAAUGCGCAGAGAUAUGGAGGAACACCAGUGGCGAAGGCGACUUUCUGGUCUGUAACUGACGCUGAUGUGCGAAAGCGUGGGGAUCAAACAGG
rnacentral:rRNA from 1 species